rnacentral:lncRNA from 1 species
UCCGGGAUAACCACCACCCCAGGCCUGGGCUGCAGGUCUUGGCAUCCUGAAGAUACAAGCAAGAGGAGACUUCUUUCCUCAUAGCCUGUGCUUUGGGGAGGAUGCACAAGUGGCAGGUCCGAUGACAGGUGCUCCAACACCUUGUCCCCGGCCCCCCCUUACCAAACAAACAUAAUAAAGCAAAUAGACAACUGUCCUGGUAAACCAGGCUCCAAAGAGUUAAAGAAACCAAAGACUAAAUUCUUGGACUUACAGAAUAGCAGAUAAGAAAAGAAAGAACUUGCUGAAAAGCUGAAACUAAGACUGUGCCCCGAAGAGUAAGAAACCAGUAACAGAAAUUCUUGAGUUUGCAGGAUAGCAGAUAAGAAAAGAAACAGCUUGCCGAAACACGGACACUCCCUGCACUUACGAGAUCAAGAAAAAAACUGGCUGAUGGCCGGGCCCGGUGCCUCAAGCCUGUAACCCCAGCACUUUGGGAGGCCAAGGUUCUCACUCUGUCACCCAGGCUAAAGUGCAGUGGU